AAAUUUUACCCUAGUAGCGUCGAAUUUACAUUGAAUUUUGGAUCCUUGUACAUUUCUCCAAAAGUAUGUGAAGCUUUGUCCACAACGGCCUUUUUCACCUCAUUUUCCUCCCACGCCAAAAUGGAUGCACAAUACCGUAUGCGCAUCCUUGAGAAUUGUUGUGGUCGUUUACUAAAUAUGUUGCAUUUCCAGCCCUGCGUGCCAUCACCCAUGAAUGAACAAAUAUGAUGUAAUCACACAUAAUUUAUACACAUUAUAGAGUAAAUUAAUGAUCAAUGAUUAAAUUUCAAACCUAGAUCAAUACUUUUGUACACCAAACCAGAAUCCAUGAUAUAACGAAUGACUUAUACACAAAAAUAGAAUAAUUGAACAAUUUUCAAACUUAGUUGAAUAAACUAAUACAGUAAGUGAAUUUACUCCAUAAUUUUCUGAGUGUUCUCACCACUGACAUAUUAAAUUCAACGAAAUUCCAUUUCAAUAUGCACUUAAUUAGUUCAUAAGAUAGUUUCUAAAUAACAUAUCAAACAUACUGAACAUAAUAAUACAUUUUCUGAACAAACAUAACAAAUAUUCUAAAUAACAACUUCUACUUUCUGAAUAACUUAACAAAUACACCGAUCACAUAAUAAUUACCUUAUACCCAAUUAAUAAAAAUAUCUUACGAAUAACACAACAAACAUACUGAACAACAACACGAUGUAUACUGAAUAAACUGUACAAAUAUUAUGAAUAACUACAACUAUUUUUGAAUAACCUGAAAAAUAUACUGAAUAACUUAGUAUAAUUUCUAUAUAACUUAACAAAUACUUCUUAAUAAUAGAAAAACCUAAAUUAGAUAUAAGAGGAAUACCUCAAGCAGUUUCCAAUAGAGUGGGUAGGGAAAAACAUACCUAACAAAAAUAGUUUAAACUAAAAAUUGAAAAGACAGGAAAACACUCUAAUUUGGGCGGCUUACCAGAACAUGUACUCCCUUAUCCUUGAGUACCCUAUAGUUUGUCAUCAGCUGCUUCAACUUAUUGGAAGAGUGAAUUUGAUAAAGCAACAAGAGAAUUAGAAAAUGGGCAAAGGAUUUGAAGUUGAAAAGGAAAAAGAGAAAUAUUUCUUCUUACUAAUAACAAGUCUGAAAAGAAAACACCUAAAAUAAUAUAGAUAACUCACCAAAAGAGAGUCCAGUAUCCAUGGAAGAAUGCAUCGAAAAGCAUCAGAAAAUACUGCAAACAUUGUUUUUAAAGAUAAAUACAUCAUGGCAAAAAAUACUACAUUUAUCUAUAACAGCAGUCAGCAGCAAAAGAUCCCGUGUCAAAGGCACUCAUAUCUUGUACAUCUAUUGUCACAGCCCAAAACCGUUUAGUUCCUUUGCAAAUUUUAUUUGGAAAUUAUUAUAUUUUCGAAUUAUUAAUAUAUAUAAAUCUAUGAGUCGAAUUUAUGAACAUGUUUAGUCGCGCCCCUAGUUAGAUAAAUAAAUUUAGAUUAUAGAUUAUGACUUUAGCAAUAAAAAGAAAUUUUGUGCUCCAAGAUACUAAUAAAAUUUUGAGGCCUAAAUAAAUAUUUUUCUAUAUAUUGGGCUUUAUUUAAUUAUUUUUGCUUUUUGGGCUACCAUUUAAUAAUAGCCCGUAAUUUGAAUUGUAAAACAAGUAGAUUGUGAGUAUUAACUUGAAUUGAUUCUUAAUUCCCAGUUGGAUUACGUGGUCUUUCCUUUAUUCAGCCACAUUUGACAUUUUAUUCUUAGCCACGUAUCAUUUGUAUCAUUUCAAAUCGCAGUUUUAACCACCACGUAUCAUUCCAAAACCUAUCUCAUUUAAAUUCAUCCAUCAGCUAUAAUCAAUUUCAUUUUUCAGCAAUUUUUAACUCGUCUUCGUUCUGCAGAGGUAAUUUUAUUGAUUUUGAAAAUUCUAGCAAACAUCCAGCAUGAGAUAAUUUAUGUUUAUUUUCAGUAAUAAUUCACCUUUCUGCAUUAAAAAUCAAAAGAAAAAGAAAGAAUAAAAUGGAAUUAGAAACACAGAAGUAGAGUGGAGAUGGGGAAUUGUUGGUGAGCGGAUACUGGACAGACGUGAAGCGAGAGAGGCGGCUGAACGGCGCCGCCGGGCGCUGCCUGCGCCACGGCGGCCGGCGAAGAGGAAACAGGGAGGCGGCGACGGUGGUUGGGCGGCAUCAGAUCUAGAAAAGGGGAGGCGGCGGCUGGGCUGUGCUGCUGUCAACGCGGAGGCGGCGAUGGUGGCAGCUGCCGUCGACCAGAAGAGGGAGAAAUGAGAGGAGUGGUAGGUACUGACAAGGCGGCGGGAGUCACCGGAGAAGGGAGAUGGCCGCGGCAAGGCGCGGCGAGGAGAAGGGCAGAGGGGGCGAGAAAUGAGGAAGAGGGAGAGAGGUUGAGGAGAGGACAGGGGGAGCCAGAGCCGCCGGCCUCCGGCGGCGGCAGGAGGCCGAGAAGAGGAGAGGGAGAGAAGGAGAGAGAGAGUGAGGCUGCG
rnacentral:lncRNA from 1 species